AUACGGAGGAUGCAAGCGUUAUCCGGAUUUAUUGGGUUUAAAGGGUGCGUAGGCGGAUGAUUAAGCGUGAGGUGAAAUGCCACUGCUCAACAGUGGAACUGCCUCGCGAACUGGUUGUCUUGAAUGCUCCUGCCGUGGGAGGAAUGUGUGGUGUAGCGGUGAAAUGCAUAGAGAUCACACAGAACACCGAUUGCGAAGGCAUCUCAGGAAGGGGUGAUUGACGCUGAGGCACGAAAGCGUGGGGAUCAAACAGGAUUAGAUACCCUGGUAGUCCACGCAGUAAACGAUGAUAACUAACCGCUGGGUCGUAGUGAUUCAGUGGCCAAGCGAAAGCGAUAAGUUAUCCACCUGGGGAGUACGACCGCAAGGUUGAAACUUAAAGGAAUUGACGGGG
rnacentral:rRNA from 1 species